AUUGAACGCUGGCGGCAGGCCUAACACAUGCAAGUCGAGCGGAUGAAGGGAGCUUGCUCCUGGAUUCAGCGGCGGACGGGUGAGUAAUGCCUAGGAAUCUGCCUGGUAGUGGGGGAUAACGUCCGGAAACGGGCGCUAAUACCGCAUACGUCCUGAGGGAGAAAGUGGGGGAUCUUCGGACCUCACGCUAUCAGAUGAGCCUAGGUCGGAUUAGCUAGUUGGUGGGGUAAAGGCCUACCAAGGCGACGAUCCGUAACUGGUCUGAGAGGAUGAUCAGUCACACUGGAACUGAGACACGGCCCAGACUCCUACGGGAGGCAGCAGUGGGGAAUAUUGGACAAUGGGCGAAGGCCUGAUCCAGCCAUGCCGCGUGUGUGAAGAAGGUCUUCGGAUUGUAAAGCACUUUAAGUUGGGAGGAAGGGCAGUAAGUUAAUACCUUGCUGUUUUGACGUUACCAACAGAAUAAGCACCGGCUAACUUCGUG
rnacentral:rRNA from 1 species